GUGAACUUACGUUUGAAGCGAAAAUCCCUUUAUUUUGUUCCGAAGUUUCGGAAAAAAUAAAAGAUUACAGCGAAAAGCGGGAAUGCAU
rnacentral:sRNA from 1 species